rnacentral:lncRNA from 1 species
UUUUUUGCAUUUAAAGGGUUUCUCACCAGUGUGUACCCGCUGAUGUUCAGUAAGGAAUGAAUUAAGUCUAAAGGCCUUCCCGCAUUCCUUACAUUCAAAAGGUUUCUCACCAGUGUGAACACUCUGAUGUCCAAUAAGUUGUCCAUAAACAGUAAAGGCUUUCCCACAUUUGUUACAUUCAUAGGGUUUCUCCCCAGUAUGAAUUCUUUGAUGCUGAACAAGGUAUGAGCCAGAACUGAAGGCCUUGCCACACUCCUUACACUCAUAGGGCUUCUUACCAGUAUGGAUUCUGCUAUGUUGUACAAGGUACGAGGCUCGACUAAAAGUCUUUCCACAUUCCUUACAUUCAUAGGGCUUUACAUCAGUAUGAAUUUUCCGAUGCUGUGUGAGAUGUACGUGCACUCUGAAGGCCUUGCCACAUUCCUUACACUCAUAGGGUUUCUCUCCAGUAUGAACCCUUUGAUGUACGGUAAGCUGAUGGCGACUAAUAAAGGCUUUGCCACAUUCCUUACAUUCAUAGGGUUUCUCCCCAGUAUGGAUCCUCUGAUGCUGAACAAGGUAUGAGCCAGUACUAAAGGCCUUGCCACACUCCUUACAUUCAUAGGGUUUCUCGCCAGUAUGAAUUCUCUGAUGCUUAGCAAGGGGUGAGCUAGUGCUAAAGGCCUUCCCACAUUCUUUGCAUUCGUAAGGUUUUUCACUGGUAUGAAUUCGCUGAUGUUGAACCAGGUAUGAAAAGGUACUGAAGGCCUUCCCACACUCCUCACACCCAAAGGGUUUUUCACCAGUGUGAGUACUCUGAUGCCGGGUAAGCUUUCCAUAUACUAGAAAAGCUUUCCCACAUUCCCCGCACUCAUAUGGUUUCUUCCCAGUAUGAAUACUCUUAUGUACUGUAAGUUGAUAGCUACCACUAAUAGUCUUUCCACAUUGCUUACAUUUGAGUGGCUUCUCACCAGUGUGAAUU